UCUCCGUUGGUGAACCAGCGGAGGGAUCAUUACCGAAGUUACCUUCAAAACCCACUGUGAACCUUACCUCUUGCCGCGUUGUCUCGGCGGGAGGCGGUGUGCGUCGCGCGCCCUAGCGGGCCGCGCCGCUCCCGUCCCCGCCGGCAGCGCCAAACUCUAAAUGCACAGCGGACUGUACGUUCUGAUUUACAAAAAAAAACAAGUUAAAACUUUCAACAACGGAUCUCAUGGUUCUG
rnacentral:misc_RNA from 1 species